rnacentral:rRNA from 1 species
GACAGAGGUGCCAAGCGUUAGGCGGAAUCACUGGGCUUAAAGCGUGUGUAGGCGGAUCGUUAAGUACCUUGUGAAAUCCCACGGCUCAACCGUGGAACUGCUGGGUAUACUGGCGGUCUUGAGCCACCUAGGGGCAGCCGGAACAAGCGGUGGAGCGGUGAAAUGCGUAGAUAUCGCUUGGAACGCCGAAGGUGAAAACAGGCUGCUGGGGUUGUGCCGACGCUGAGACACGAAAGCCAGGGGAGCAAACGGG